UUUCCAUGCUAAAUGACUCGUAGAAACCAAUGAAAUUGGCCGACAUGAAAGAAGAUAACAAGUAUGCACCAGGAAGGGGUGAAAAAAAUGGAUACGAUAUGCAUUUCAAAGUGAACGAUCGUAUUAGUGAAAUUUGCAUCUAAAUUUAAGUAUCCUUUUUAACCGAAAGGAGAUGGUGUAUUCUCAGUGGGGAAGAAUCUGCCACGUACGGAGGAUAUACACAUCAACGGCCGCAUUCUUACAUCAUCAACACUGCAAAUCGGAAUUUGGAGGGACCGG
rnacentral:lncRNA from 1 species